rnacentral:rRNA from 1 species
UACGUAGGGUGCAAGCGUUAAUCGGAAUUACUGGGCGUAAAAGCGUGCGCAGGCGGUUUAUAUAAGACAGUUGUGAAAUCCCCGGGCUCAACCUGGGAACUGCAUCUGUGACUGUAUAGCUAGAGUACGGUAGAGGGGGAUGGAAUUCCGCGUGUAGCAGUGAAAUGCGUAGAUAUGCGGAGGAACACCGAUGGCGAAGGCAAUCCCCUGGACCUGUACUGACGCUCAUGCACGAAAGGCGUGGGGAGCAA